rnacentral:rRNA from 1 species
AUUGAACGCUGGCGGAAUGCUUUACACAUGCAAGUCGAACGGCAGCACGGACUUCGGUCUGGUGGCGAGUGGCGAACGGGUGAGUAAUAUAUCGGAACGUGCCCAGUCGUGGGGGAUAACGUAGCGAAAGCUACGCUAAUACCGCAUACGAUCUACGGAUGAAAGCGGGGGAUCGCAAGACCUCGCGCGAUUGGAGCGGCCGAUAUCAGAGUAGGUAGUUGGUGAGGUAAAGGCUCACCAAGCAGACGAUCUGUAGCUGGUCUGAGAGGACGACAAGCCACACUGGGACUGAGACACGGCCCAGACUCCUACGGGAGGCAGCAGUGGGGAAUUUUGGACAAUGGACGCAAGUCUGAUCCAGCCAUUCCGCGUGCAGGACGAAGGCCUUCGGGUUGUAAACUGCUUUUGUACAGAACGAAAAGGUCUCUAUUAAUACUAGGGGCUCAUGACGGUACUGUAAGAAUAAGCACCGGCUAACUACGUGCCAGCCGCCGCAGUAA